ACCUUCACUUACUCAUUGUGCCUCUCACACCUCUCCCCAAACUCUCUGUCUGUCUCUCAACCAGACAUCAUCUCUGCCUCACCUCAAACCUAUCGACUAUCACCCAAAACAAUGCACCGUCUCCGGAGUCUCUUUGUCUCUGACUCUUCCUCUCACCCAUCUGACCCUCUCAGGCCUCAACCACUCCGUCACUUCGCCUUUUCGUGGGACUGUGACUCCGACUCCGGCUCUCCACCUUCUCGGCGCUCAUGGUCUCACCCCUCUCAGGUUCUCACCGUGGACUCUCACUUAACAGAAACCCUAGAUCCGGGGAGAUAUCCUUGGCUUCUUCGGUGACUGCCCCUGGCCAUGAAAACCUAACAUAAGUGACAGUAACACUUGUACAGAAGUGCUAAAGAACUUCAGGCUUAAUGGCUUUCAGUUUUCAUGAUACAACAGAUGGACACAACUUCUCAAGAUAUGUCAGCUCCAGCUUCUCAAGAUAUAUCACUUCCAGCAUCCCAAGAAAUGUGGAAUGUUUACAACAUUUAACUUGCUUGUUUGCAUCUGGUUGACUUGGCAGGAAGUGAAAGAGCUGACAAAACUGAAGCAAUUGGUGAUAGGUUAAUGGAGGCUUAACAUAUCAACAAGUCUCUCUCUGCUUUAGGAGAUGUGAUAUCUGCCCUUGGCAAUAAGAGUUCACACGUUCCCUACAGGAAUAGUAAGCUUACACAGCUCCUGCAAGAUUCUCUUGGAAGGCAAGCCAAGAUAUUAAUGUUUGUUCACAUUAGUCCUGAGGCGGAUGCUAUUGGAGAGACACUUAUGACUCUUAAAUUUGCUGAACGUGUGUCUGUUGUCGAGCUUGGUGUAGCCCGUGCAAACAAAGAUAUAUCUGAUGUUAAAGAACUCAAAGAACAGAUUGCUAGUCUAAAGGCUGCUUUGGCAAAGAAGGAGGGGGCAAAUUCCAGAUCAAGUAGUCCAGAAAGGAGAAUUCCAUCCUAUGGAUCUUCACCUUCACAUUCAAGUUGAGGGGAUAUGCAAAUCUAUGAUCAAGGGCAACCUUACGGAGGAUGUUGGUGGCGGAAGAGCGGGUACUUCAUCAUCACCUCCAUCUCAGAACAAUUGAAUCUAAUGGUUGUUUGUGAAGACUAUUACAAUGUUUAGACUUGGAUAGACUAUUAUUAUGUAUAUAUUAAAUGUGGAUUAGUAAUGUAUUAUUACUUGAACUUAA